rnacentral:rRNA from 1 species
GUCGAACGGAAAGGCCCUGCUUGCAGGGUACUCGAGUGGCGAACGGGUGAGUAACACGUGGGUGAUCUGCCCUGCACUUCGGGAUAAGCUUGGGAAACUGGGUCUAAUACCGGAUAGGACCGCACUUUAGUGUGUGUGGUGGAAAGUUUUUUCGGUGUAGGAUGAGCUCGCGGCCUAUCAGCUUGUUGGUGGGGUAAUGGCCUACCAAGGCGGCGACGGGUAGCCGGCCUGAGAGGGUGUACGGCCACAUUGGGACUGAGAUACGGCCCAGACUCCUACGGGAGGCAGCAGUGGGGAAUAUUGCACAAUGGGCGCAAGCCUGAUGCAGCGACGCCGCGUGGGGGAUGAAGGCCUUCGGGUUGUAAACUCCUUUCGCUAGGGACGAAGCUUUUUGUGACGGUACCUAGAUAAGAAGCACCGGCUAACUACGUGCCAGCAGCCGCGGUAAUACGUAGGGUGCGAGCGUUGUCCGGAAUUACUGGGCGUAAAGGGCUCGUAGGUGGUUUGUCGCGUCGUCUGUGAAAUUCUGGGGCUUAACUCCGGGCGUGCAGGCGAUACGGGCAUAACUUGAGUGCUGUAGGGGUAACUGGAAUUCCUGGUGUAGCGGUGAAAUGCGCAGAUAUCAGGAGGAACACCGAUGGCGAAGGCAGGUUA